AACUAUAUUUUUGGUUAAUACAACACCCCAGGAAUACUGGGAAAGUUCAUAAAAAAAAUUAAAUACUAUAACGUUCAUCGCACUACACCAUACAUUGAUAAUACAUAACGUGGAACACAUACACUGAUAAUACAUAUAUAACAUGGAAACAAAUUAAAGACGACACAAGAACAUACUAUAUUUAUGACAAGUUUACAGUACAAACAUUUGACGGUGCAAUUUGUUGCAACAUACAGCUGAAGCAAUUACAAAUUGCUUUAUUAUUAUUAAACACAACAUUCGAAAAUAUCCAUUUAACGAGCGAGACAAAUUCUCUCAUUCUCCUCUGGAAAAUAAUGGCAUGUCUUGCAAAUAAUAGCGUCUGAGCAAUCGUUGUUUGUUUGACAUGGUCUCUGGCAAGUGAUUAGUGAAUUUAGAAACAAAGUUUUUUCCAUGGCAGCUACCUCCAAUGGAAAAUCGCGUGCAGCCAUAACCAGCAUGUUUGGUGACCCUGAAAAUUUACCUUUAUAAUAAAUAACAUCUUUAAAAACAAUUAAAUGAUACAUUAAUCAGAUGUCACAAUGAUAUACUUUUAUUCUUGGAUUGUUAUUAUUACUACUGUAUUAUUUUCUUUCGCUUCAAUUUUCUUAAUAUCUUGUUGUUGUUACUGCUUGUUGUCAUUGUUUUAUUUUCAUAUUUUUUUAGCCAAGAGUCUGCCGAAAAAAUAGCCUGUCUGCCCUCUCAGGGCAAGGGUAAGGACUACGUAUACGCUACCCUCCCCAUACCUUACUUAGGGGAAAGCACUAAGUUUGUUGUAGUUGUUGUAAUCAUACGUCGCUACUAGAAACACACGUUUUUUCAACGGACUUCCGUCGAGAAUGUGCUCGUCGGCAAGGGCGGAGCUAGAGGGUUAACUAUGGGUUCGACGGGAUCCAAUAACUUUGAUUCAAUUUCUAUAUUUGUAUUUAGAAAUGUACUAGAUAUAUAUAUACAAAAAUUAAAUUUAGAACUCAAUUACUAACCCUUAAUAUCUCUAUAUUAGAAUUUAGAACCAAUAAGUUUAAAUCUUGGUCCCGUCUUUGCUUAUCGAAAACUGUUUUCGACGGCAUUCUGACGAAAAUCUCAAAUUUUCGAUAGAUUUUGACGAAAACGUCCAUCAGAAAAAUGCAUGUUUGUAGUAGUGUGUAAUGUAACCAUGCAUGCACAUGCACUGAUAUGUAACAUAUGGUUAUUUUUAUUUAAAAAAAUUAUUAUGAAAGAUAUCUAUUGAAGGGAGUUAUUAAUAAUAAUUACUCACCAACUGUAGCGACCCAGAAGAGGAGCAUGAAUACAACUAAUUGCUUUUGGAAAGAAGCCAUACUUCUAUGCAGUUAUAGAUUGAGAUUUUUAGAAAAUUGCUUUGUGU
rnacentral:lncRNA from 1 species